GAUGAACGCUAGCGGCAGGCUUAAUACAUGCAAGUCGUGGGGCAGCAUGAGUGUAGCAAUACAUUUGAUGGCGACCGGCAAACGGGUGCGGAACACGUACACAACCUUCCUUCAAGUGGGGAAUAGCCCAGGGAAACUUGGAUUAAUACCCCGUAAUAUUAUGGAGUGGCAUCACUUUAUAAUUAUAGCUCCGGCGCUUGAUGAUGGGUGUGCGCCUGANAGGUAGUUGGCGGGGUAACGGCCCACCAAGCCUUCGAUCAGUAACCGGUGUGAGAGCACGACCAGUCACACGGGCACUGAGACACGGGCCCGGACUCCUACGGGAGGCAGCAGUAAGGAAUAUUGGUCAAUGGACGCAAGUCUGAACCAGCCAUGCCGCGUGAAGGAUGAAGGUCCUCUGGAUUGUAAACUUCUUUUAUC
rnacentral:rRNA from 1 species